rnacentral:rRNA from 1 species
UACGUAGGGAGCAAGCGUUGUCCGGAAUCAUUGGGCGUAAAGCGCGCGUAGGCGGCCCUGUAAGUCCGUUGUGAAAGUCAAAGGCUCAACCUUUGAAGCCGAUGGAUACUGCAGGGCUAGAGUCCGGAAGAGGCGAGUGGAAUUCCUGGUGUAGCGGUGGAAUGCGCAGAUAUCAGGAGGAACACCAAUAGCGAAGGCGGCUCGCUGGACCGGAACUGACGCUGAGGCGCGAAAGCCAGGGGAGCAAACGGGG